rnacentral:rRNA from 1 species
UACCAGCACCCCGAGUGGUCGGGACGUUUAUUGGGCCUAAAGCAUCCGUAGCCGGUUCUACAAGUCUUCCGUUAAAUCCACCUGCUUAACAGAUGGGCUGCGGAAGAUACUAUAGAGCUAGGAGGCGGGAGAGGCAAGCGGUACUCGAUGGGUAGGGGUAAAAUCCGUUGAUCCAUUGAAGACCACCAGUGGCGAAGGCGGCUUGCCAGAACGCGCUCGACGGUGAGGGAUGAAAGCUAGGGGAGCAAACCGG